CAAUUCCCAGUCCUUGAACUAAACCAAACCAAACCUUCUCCACUAUUUCUCUAGGACAAAGAUCCCGAGGAUAUUUGUGAAAGACCUACUUUUCAUCUCUUUAAAAAUCCUCAUGACCAAAAGGAGAUGCUGUGGUUAAGAGGCUGACUGUGAGCAAGCACAGGAGAGGUGAGCCUGACCCUGCUGCUGUCCCUCUGGAAUCCCGGAAACCAAAGAGAGGAAGGGGCCAAAAAGAGGCCCACAAACAGUGCGGCUUUGGAGAGCUAUGUAAUACAUCUAAGAGAUCACAAGCAACUGUUGACAGGCUUUGAGUGAACCAACUAGAAAUUACCAUGGAGCUGUAUACAAGGGAAAAAACUAUUAACCACAAUCUAAUAAGGAUAAACAAAGGUUUACACUGCUUGGGGCAAGAUUUUUUAAAAAACACCACCACCUACACAGAAAGGCAAGUAGCUGAAAGCAAACAGACUCACUUUAUGGCUCCUGAGUCUUGAACCAAGGUUACACAGAAAAAGAGCUGAGCAGGCUCAGGAUAAGAGAAACACACUGCAUAGUCAUGAGCAACCACCAUUAACACCACUAUGGAGUCAGCCUCACCUCGCCAAGGGUUCCUCCCUAGCACCCAGUAUCACAAAUAGGCCAAGCUGUGUGUCACUCCCCAAAGACGGUUUCACAACUGUCACAGGCACUGUGCCUAGAAUAUUUUUUAUUUCCAGGCCAGCCCUUCAGACUUGAAAACUUGGCUUCAACUCAACCUUCUCUGUAAAUCUUGUGCUCACUCCCUUCUGAGCACAGUGGACAGUAUGCUGCUCUUCCAGGUUACUUCAACAUCGGCCUCUGCUGUGAACUAAUCUAACAUCCAAAUUCAUCUGAGUUUUAUAAUCCUGCCAAUGGCAAUUAUCAAAACACAGCAAGUAUGUGUUCUGUGGUCACUUCUAUGAAAGGCCAUUCUGAUUGGAACUUUUCAGGGGAGUAAUGCACAGGUUUUAAAGUGGCAACAAGUGGCAUGGGCUGAGUGACAGAGAAUAUGGAUCUGUGUCAAGCUGAAAAAGUCCCACACAGACCCUUGGAAAUAAAACCCAACUAGGGAGGACUGCAGCAGGAACAGCAGUGACACUCAGAGAAGGAUGUCUGGUGGUCACUCUGGAUCUGAGGCUGUACAUAAUCUCUCAUUUUCAAAACAAAAAACUUUUAUUCCUAAUUCUGCCAGCUCUUCUGUAUAUUUAGCCAAACUAGAUGGGAAAUAAAGUGGAAAAUUCAAAGUGAACAUCUGCUGCUUCUAAAAAGCCUCAGUUGGCUGUAAGGGAGAAGGACAUCUCUCCUUGGAAAGACCCAAUCAGAGGGCAAAACGCCCCCUUCCCCCAACCAGUCCCCUUUCUGUCCCAUGAAGUUUCACACUCACCCUUGAAGCAACCCACAGUGGAGAUGUAAACUAACAGGGAAGGUUGAUGAAAUGAGCUCCAAGAUGGUAACUGCUCUCUUGGCUCAGUGCUGCUCAGGAGAUUUCUUGGGGGCCCACAGAGUUCUCCUUCCACCCCAUUCCACACAGCCUUCCCCAGGAGAGGCCUGAUCCACACUUGUCCUCCUGCCGAGACAAGACCACACACCUGCUCCAAGGAGAGAACUUAAGCAGGACAACAGGAUGUGUGUUAAGCAGGCUAACGGGAAAAGCAAGUGUUACACAAGCCAGGAAUCAAUAACUAAAGUCAAGCAGACUCACAUGGCCCAGUGCAGCUGCUUCCCAGGGACUGGGACACAAACCCCUCUUUGAACUGGCUCUAUCGCCCCAGAAUGCAGACAAGAGAUACCCUGCUGCCAGACCCAGCCCACGGGAAUGGACAAGAGCCAAAGCUCUGGCCAGAGCCAGAACCUGGGAUGUAUCCUAGGACAAAAGCAACAGGUCUCUGUUCCUGACUUAUCAAGAACCAAAAGAAAUUCCAGGACCUUUCCGGAGUUCCUUGCUACAGACCUAGAAACUCAGGAAUCACAUAGGGUACCCUACAGAUCAUCAAUGUACGUUGUAUUUCACCCUCUCUUAGACAUUUCACCUCUCUGCAGACAUUUGCAGAAGAGCAACACCAAGGGACAAAUAAGGGCCAAACUGGAAAACAAGCAAAGAGGGAAGUGGGUGGGUCUUAGAGUUGAGGAAGAGAGAGAAAAAGGUUUCUUUUUCUUCUUCAGUGAAAAUAUUUGUCUAGAAUUGAGAAUGAAAAACAAUGACAGAAAGCACUAGUGAGCUGAGGAAGGGCAACAGCACUGUCCUCAGCAAGAACACAGAGUUCGCAGGCGCCUGGGCGUGUGCUCCCUUCCAUUCCGCCCACCCACAGUUUCUGGGGCAAACAAAUUCUUGGCUGAGCAGGUAUGUGUGGGAGGCCUGAUUAUUUUCCAGCCAUUAGAGCUUUGCCCAGAACUACUUAAUCAGGACUUUCCAAGGUCAUACAUUCAAGUAUGAUGCUAUAGCCUUACAGAACAAAUAACUGGGCUCCAUGGGGCAGGAGGGUGGAGAGUGUGGGGAACGAAAGAAGGAAUUAACCAAUCUCAUGUGAUCCAGCUUCCCAUCCACUCUCAGCAUGUGUCUAUCUGUAGUCUCAGAAAACUGGUAUACAGGGCAAAUACAUAGCUAGAAGAAACAGUAGCUAAUUUUAAUAUGUAGUGCUUGCUCUGUGGCAGCCACAAUUCUAAACGCUCUGUAUACACUGACUUUUUUGACCCUCCACCAUCCUUUGAGGUGGGCACUAUUAUCAUCAUCAUGCCCAAUUACAGACAUAUACAGAGGCUAAGUAACUCACCUAGGGACCACAGCUUGCCAGAGCAUGAGGUGUUCUGGGCAUCUGCACUUUGCUCUACUCCCUCUCUCUGUUCUGCUGAGCUGCUCAUCAAAAAAGGCCAAACUAUACUAACAGUCCUUUCCAGCUAAGGCAUAUCCACUCAAUUUUCCCAAUUCAGUAGUUUGCUUUAAGAGACUUUCUGGAAAGGUAUAUUAUCAGAGAUUGUACCCGCCUUAAGGUAGACACAGGACAGCACUAACCCUGCUGUUUCAAAAGCCAGUGACUUAGGAGGACUAGGAAUGUCCCAUAGCUCCAACCAUCAUUCACCCUCAUGUACUAUGUGAUUAGAAGCAGUUCUAGUCAAAGCUUUGAUCCCUGUUAAAAUGUAAAAGCUUCUGGGAGGUGUAUAUUUUAUGGCCUACAUUUUAUGCAACUUGCAUUGUUAUCUUUUUAAAUCCAGCUUAGUGAUAAGACCUUCAGGUGGUUUCCAGGCAUGCGAUUCACCUGUCCAGUUCUGACUUGUUCACUGCAGAGUGCCUGGAACUCUCCAGGGUCUGGCACAGAAACAGAUGCUCAAGAUCACCAGUGUGGGUGUAGGGCAAACUUAUGACACACGGGUAUCAAAGGGGCAGCCAAGUUGGGCAAAGUUAUCACCCAAAAAGUCUAAAUGUGAACAAGUAAAUCACUGUCAGCAUUAAUUCUGAAAGAUGCUUCAGGCAUAUUUAAAUACUGUAAUAUACAGAAUAGUAUUUCUGGGAGCUUAUUAAUGGAUUUUAUUUAAAAAUACAUUUAGAGCUACUACAUUUAAAUGAAGACAAUAAUCUAUUUAGGAAGGUAUUGAUACCCACAUAAUUUCCUCCUAAAAUUAUGCCUUCCCAAAUGACAACAUGCUCUAGGACACAAUCUUUCCUCCCUAACAUUCUCAUAUCCAACUUUUACGAGUCCACAAAUGCCACUAUAAUGCCUCUUCCCGGAAGCGUUCCCUGACUUUCACCCAGAAGAGGUUGCGCCCUCUUUGUACUUUAAGUUAUUUUGCUUUCUUUUUGAAUACAAACUCAUUCUCUGAA